rnacentral:rRNA from 1 species
AGUGAACGCUGGCGGUAGGCCUAACACAUGCAAGUCGAACGGCAGCACAGUAAGAGCUUGCUCUUACGGGUGGCGAGUGGCGGACGGGUGAGGAAUACAUCGGAAUCUACUUUUUCGUGGGGGAUAACGUAGGGAAACUUACGCUAAUACCGCAUACGACCUACGGGUGAAAGCAGGGGAUCUUCGGACCUUGCGCGAUUGAAUGAGCCGAUGUCGGAUUAGCUAGUUGGCGGGGUAAAGGCCCACCAAGGCGACGAUCCGUAGCUGGUCUGAGAGGAUGAUCAGCCACACUGGAACGGAGACACGGUCCAGACUCCUACGGGAGGCAGCAGUGGGGAAUAUUGGGCAAUGGGCGCAAGCCUGAUCCAGCCAUACCGCGUGGGUGAAGAAGGCCUUCGGGUUGUAAAGCCCUUUUGUUGGGAAAGAAAAGCAGCAGGUUAAUACCCCGCUGUUCUGACGGUACCAAAAGAAUAAGCACCGGCUAACUACGUG